AUUGAACGCUGGCGGCAUGCCUUACACAUGCAAGUCGAACGGUAACAGAUCUUCGGAUGCUGACGAGUGGCGAACGGGUGAGUAAUACAUCGGAACGUGCCUAGUAGUGGGGGAUAACUACUCGAAAGAGUGGCUAAUACCGCAUGAGAUCUACGGAUGAAAGCAGGGGAUCGCAAGACUUUGUGCUACUAGAGCGGCCGAUGGCAGGUUAGGUAGUUGGUGGGAUAAAAGCUUACCAAGCCGACGAUCUGUAGCUGGUCUGAGAGGACGAUCAGCCACACUGGGACGGAGACACGGCCCAGACUCCUACGGGAGGCAGCAGUGGGGAAUUUUGGACAAUGGGCGCAAGCCUGAUCCAGCAAUGCCGCGUGCAGGAUGAAGGCCUUCGGGUUGUAAACUGCUUUUGUACGGAACGAAAAGCCCUGGGUUAAUACCCUGGGGUCAUGACGGUACCGUAAGAAUAAGCACCGGCUAACUACGUGCCAGCCGCCGCCGUAAUAC
rnacentral:rRNA from 1 species